rnacentral:rRNA from 1 species
CAGGCCUAACACAUGCAAGUCGAGGGAGAAGCUACUUUCGGGUAGUGGAGACCGGCAGACGGGUGAGUAACACGUGGGAACAUACCUAGUGGUGGGGGAUAACAGUUGGAAACGACUGCUAAUACCGCAUACGCCCUUCGGGGGAAAGAUUUAUCGCCAUUAGAUUGGCCCGCGUUAGAUUAGCUAGUUGGUGGGGUAAUGGCCCACCAAGGCGACGAUCCGUAGCUGGUCUGAGAGGAUGAUCAGCCACAUCGGGACUGAGACACGGCCCGAACUCCUACGGGAGGCAGCAGUGGGGAAUAUUGGACAAUGGGGGCAACUCUGACGCAGCCAUGCCGCGUGAGUGAAGAAGGCCUUAGGGUUGUAAAGCUCUUUCAGACGUGAUGAUGAUGACAGUAACGUCAAAAGAAGUUCCGGCUAACUUCGUGCCAGCAGCCGCGGUAAUACGGAGGGAACUAGCGUUGUUCGGAUUUACUGGGCGUAAAGAGCAUGUAGGCGGAUUGGUCAGUUGGGGGUGAAAGCCCGGAGCUCAACUCCGGAACGGCCUUCAAUACUGCCAGUCUAGAGUCUGUAAGGGGGUGGUGGAAUUCCGAGUGUAGAGGUGAAAUUCGUAGAUAUUCGGAGGAACACCAGUGGCGAAGGCGACCACCUGGUACAGUACUGACGCUGAGAUGCGAAAGCGUGGGGAGCAAACAGGAUUAGAUACUCUGGUAGUCCACGCCGUAAACGAUGAGUGCUAGUUGUCGGGUUGCUUGCAACUCGGUGACGCAGCUAACGCAUUAAGCACUCCGCCUGGGGAGUACGGUCGCAAGAUUAAAACUCAAAGGAAUUGACGGGGGCCCGCACAAGCGGUGGAGCAUGUGGUUUAAUUCGAAGCAACGCGAAGAACCUUACCAAUUCUUGACAUACUCGUCGCGGAUUCUAGAGAUAGUUUUCUUCAGUUCGGCUGGACGAUGUACAGGUGCUGCAUGGCUGUCGUC